rnacentral:rRNA from 1 species
UACGAAGGGGGCUAGCGUUGUUCGGAAUUACUGGGCGUAAAGGGCGCGUAGGCGGUGUGUCAAGUCAGGCGUGAAAGCCCCGGGCUCAACCUGGGAACCGCGCUUGAGACUGGCAUGCUCGAGUCCGGGAGAGGAUGGUGGAAUUCCCAGUGUAGAGGUGAAAUUCGUAGAUAUUGGGAAGAACACCGAUGGCGAAGGCAGCCAUCUGGACCGGCACUGACGCUGAGGCGCGAAAGCGUGGGGAGCAAACAGG